GGAGAAAAGAUGUCCAUCAACUGGUAAAUGGAUAAAUUGUGGUAUAUCCAUACAAUGGAAUAUUACUCAGGAACCAACAAGAACAAAUAUGGAUACAUGCAGCAACAUGAAGGACUCUCAGACACCAUAGGUUAAGCGAAAGAAGCCAGACACAAAAGGCUAAUCGUUGUGUGACUACCUACAUGUGACAUUCUAGAAAAGGCAAAACUGUACGGACAUGAUAUCAAAUGUUUAAUUCAAAUCGGUGGUUUCCAGAGCUGGGUGUAGGAGGAAGGACAGAGGACAGCGGGGCAUGAGGGAAUUCUUAGGGGAAUGGAAAUGUUCUGUAUCUUGACUGUGACAUAGUGUCACCAUUUGUUAAAACUCAUUGAACUGUACUGUUUAAAAGGUGAAUUUUACUCUAUGAAAAUUAUACCUCAAUAAGCCUUACUUGGAAAGGAGAAAAGUGUGCAGGUCCUUCACUUGUUUUUCUCAGAUUCUGUGAAGUGGCUAUGUAAUCUCCCAAACAGAUAAAGAAACUUUACAGGCCCUUUCUGCUCUGAUUUUGCCAGUGUUUGGAUGGCAGAGGAGAGUCUGAAACGGGAGAGACUGUCCCCUGAAGAGCCCUCCUCCAUCACUCCUUUGUCUAAAACAUCUUGCCCCUCUUGGGGGGCAUCUCCUGAUCCUGAAUCAUGAUGCCCCAAAGGCACCAUCUGGAUGGGAAGGCUGGGAAUGCUCAGCCCCACAUUAAUCUCACUCUAGAGGCUCCAAACAGCACUGGUGGGUCCUGGAGACUCAGCAGGGUGCCCCUGGGCCUGCCCUGAGGGGGAGGGGCCACGGGAAAGAGGCAAGUGGGCGGAGCCCUAGGCCCCACCUCCACCGAAGCAAUCCGGUGUUCCGUUUCUGUAGGACACUGAGUUUCAGCUUAACCUCUUGUGGGAAACUUGCUCCGCUCAGCAAAAAGAAGGCUCAGGGAAAUGAAGUGACUUGCCGGAGACACAGCCGGUGUGGACCUGCCCAGCAACACAAACCCACCCCAUCAUCCGUGCUCUUUUUAGAGCAAUCUGUGGUGCCUCCCAGUGCCAAGUGCCUUAAGAGAGGUGUGGAUAAAGUAGCAGGUGGGCAGUGAGUGUGAGGUGAUUUCUGGCUGGAAGAAAAGAUCCUUGAAGGCUGGAAAGGAGGCCUAGGCUGAGUUUGCAGCUACUCAGGAGAAGCAGAGAGAAAGAGCACCAAGUCUCAAAAGCUGAGGCCAGUCUUCAGAAUGCUGGGCUGAAGGCGGGAAGACAGGGUUUGCCUUCUCCGUGUUUGCCA